rnacentral:ribozyme from 1 species
UUAAAUACUGUUGACACAAUUGUGUCGUUUAAACAGCAGACAUACCAACACAGUCAACAUAGGUGAAGGCUACAACAUAUUGAAAGGAAAAAUAGGUAACUCAGUUGAAGCCAUGGAUUUUGAAAACUUGAAAUCGGAUACAGAACACCUUACUAUGACAAGGUUCAUUAUGUCGGAUAUCAGGGAUGCAGAUCUUGCUAUCUUGAUGUCAGCAAUUA